rnacentral:rRNA from 1 species
UACGUAGGGUGCGAGCGUUAAUCGGAAUUACUGGGCGUAAAGCGUGCGCAGGCGGUUUUGUAAGCCAGAUGUGAAAUCCCCGGGCUUAACCUGGGAAUGGCAUUUGGGACUGCAAGGCUGGAGUGUGGCAGAGGAGACUGGAAUUCCCGGCGUAGCAGUGAAAUGCGUAGAUAUCGGGAGGAAUACCGAUGGCGAAGGCAGGUCUCUGGGCUGACACUGACGCUCAUGCACGAAAGCGUGGGGAGCAAACAGG